AGAGACUUAGGAUAACACAACUAGACCCAGGGCCUUCAAAGCCCUUAGUGGGAGUGAGAAUCUCCCAGUCCCUG
rnacentral:tRNA from 1 species